GGUUAAGUUAGAAAGGGCGCACGGUGAAUGCCUUGGCACUAGGAGCCGAUGAAGGACGGGACUAACACCGAUAUGCUUCGGGGAGCUGUAAGUGAGCUUUGAUCCGGAGAUUUCCGAAUGGGGAAACCCACUGUUCGUAAUGGAGCAGUAUCUUUAUCUGAAUACAUAGGAUAUUGAAGGCAGACCCGGGGAACUGAAACAUCUAAGUACCCGGAGGAAGAGAAAGCAAAUGCGAUUUCCUGAGUAGCGGCGAGCGAAACGGAAUUAGCCCAAACCAAGAGGCUUGCCUCUUGGGGUUGUAGGACACUCUAUACGGAGUUACAAAGGAACGAAGUAAAUGAAGCGACCUGGAAAGGUCCGUCGAAGAAGGUAACAACCCUGUAGUUGAAACUUCGUUCCCUCUUGAGUGGAUCCUGAGUACGGCGGAACACGUGAAAUUCCGUCGGAAGCUGGGAGGACCAUCUCCCAAGGCUAAAUACUACCUAGUGACCGAUAGUGAACCAGUACCGUGAGGGAAAGGUGAAAAGCACCCCGGAAGGGGAGUGAAAGAGAUCCUGAAACCGUGUGCCUACAAGUAGUCAGAGCCCGUUAACGGGUGAUGGCGUGCCUUUUGUAGAAUGAACCGGCGAGUUACGAUCCCAUGCAAGGUUAAGCUGAUAAGGCGGAGCCGUAGCGAAAGCGAGUCUGAAUAGGGCGUUUAGUAUGUGGUUGUAGACCCGAAACCAGGUGAUCUACCCAUGUCCAGGGUGAAGUUCAGGUAACACUGAAUGGAGGCCCGAACCCACGCACGUUGAAAAGUGCGGGGAUGAGGUGUGGGUAGCGGAGAAAUUCCAAUCGAACCUGGAGAUAGCUGGUUCUCUCCGAAAUAGCUUUAGGGCUAGCCUCAUGUUGUGAGAGUCUUGGAGGUAGAGCACUGAUUGGACUAGGGGCCCCCAACGGGUUACCGAAUUCAGUCAAACUCCGAAUGCCAAAGACUUAUCCAUGGGAGUCAGACUGCGAGUGAUAAGAUCCGUAGUCAAAAGGGAAACAGCCCAGACCACCAGCUAAGGUCCCCAAGUAUACGUUAAGUGGAAAAGGAUGUGGAGUUGCUUAGACAACCAGGAUGUUGGCUUAGAAGCAGCCACCAUUUAAAGAGUGCGUAAUAGCUCACUGGUCGAGUGACUCUGCGCCGAAAAUGUACCGGGGCUAAACGUAUCACCGAAGCUGUGGAUUGACAUCUUUGAUGUCAGUGGUAGGAGAGCGUUCUAAGUGCAGCGAAGUCAGACCGUAAGGACUGGUGGAGCGCUUAGAAGUGAGAAUGCCGGUAUGAGUAGCGAAAGACAAGUGAGAAUCUUGUCCACCGAAUGCCUAAGGUUUCCUGAGGAAGGCUCGUCCGCUCAGGGUUAGUCGGGACCUAAGCCGAGGCUGAAAAGCGUAGGCGAUGGCCAACAGGUUGAUAUUCCUGUACCACCUCCCCGCCGUUUGAGUAAUGGGGGGACGCAGUAGGAUAGGGUAAGCGCGCUGCUGGAUAUGCGCGUUCAAGCAGUUAGGCUGAUGAGUAGGCAAAUCCGCUCAUCAUAAAGGCUGAGCUGUGAUGACGAGGGAAUUAUAGUACCGAAGUUCCUGAUUCCACACUGCCAAGAAAAGCCUCUAGCGAGGCGGGAGGUGCCCGUACCGCAAACCGACACAGGUAGGCGAGGAGAGAAUCCUAAGGUGAUCGAGAGAACUCUCGUUAAGGAACUCGGCAAAAUGACCCCGUAACUUCGGGAGAAGGGGUGCUCUGGUAGGGUGUAUAGCCCGAGAGAGCCGCAGUGAAUAGGCCCAGGCGACUGUUUAGCAAAAACACAGGUCUCUGCGAAGCCGCAAGGCGAAGUAUAGGGGCUGACGCCUGCCCGGUGCUGGAAGGUUAAGAGGAGGGGUUAUCCUUUGGGAGAAGCUCUGAAUCGAAGCCCCAGUAAACGGCGGCCGUAACUAUAACGGUCCUAAGGUAGCGAAAUUCCUUGUCGGGUAAGUUCCGACCCGCACGAAAGGCGUAACGAUCUGGGCACUGUCUCAACGAGAGACUCGGUGAAAUUAUAGUACCUGUGAAGAUGCAGGUUACCCGCGACAGGACGGAAAGACCCCGUGGAGCUUUACUGUAGCCUGAUAUUGAAUUUUGGUACAGCUUGUACAGGAUAGGUAGGAGCCUGAGAAGCCGGAGCGCUAGCUUCGGUGGAGGCGUCGGUGGGAUACUACCCUGGCUGUAUUGAAAUUCUAACCCGCGGCCCUGAUCGGGCCGGGAGACAGUGUCAGGUGGGCAGUUUGACUGGGGCGGUCGCCUCCUAAAAUGUAACGGAGGCGCCCAAAGGUUCCCUCAGAAUGGUUGGAAAUCAUUCGUAGAGUGUAAAGGCACAAGGGAGCUUGACUGCGAGACCUACAAGUCGAGCAGGGACGAAAGUCGGGCUUAGUGAUCCGGUGGUUCCGCAUGGAAGGGCCAUCGCUCAACGGAUAAAAGCUACCCCGGGGAUAACAGGCUUAUCUCCCCCAAGAGUCCACAUCGACGGGGAGGUUUGGCACCUCGAUGUCGGCUCAUCGCAUCCUGGGGCUGUAGUCGGUCCCAAGGGUUGGGCUGUUCGCCCAUUAAAGCGGUACGCGAGCUGGGUUCAGAACGUCGUGAGACAGUUCGGUCCCUAUCCGUCGUGGGCGUAGGAAAUUUGAGAGGAGCUGUCCUUAGUACGAGAGGACCGGGAUGGACACACCGCUGGUGUACCAGUUGUCUUGCCAAAGGCAUCGCUGGGUAGCUAUGUGUGGACGGGAUAAGUGCUGAAAGCAUCUAAGCAUGAAGCCCCCCUCAAGAUGAGAUUUCCCAUAGCGCAAGCUAGUAAGAUCCCUGAAAGAUGAUCAGGUUGAUAGGUCAGAGGUGGAAGCGUGGCGACACGUGUAGCUGACUGAUACUAAUCGAUCGAGGACUUAACCAA
rnacentral:rRNA from 1 species